AACGAACGCUGGCGGCGCGCUUAACACAUGCAAGUCGAACGAGAAGGCGUAGCAAUACGCUUGUACAGUGGCGAACGGGUGAGUAAUACGUGGGCGACCUACCCUCGAGUGGGAAUAACCCGCCGAAAGGCGGGCUAAUGCCGCGUACGCUUCCAUCUUUAUGGAGGUGGAAGGAAAGCCGUGCCGUGGGCACGGCGCUCAAGGAUGGGCUCACGUCCUAUCAGCUUGUUGGAGGGUAACGGCCUACCAAGGCUCCGACGGGUAGCUGGUCUGAGAGGACGAUCAGCCACACUGGCACUGCGACACGGGCCAGACUCCUACGGGAGGCAGCAGUAAGGAAUAUUGCGCAAUGGGCGAAAGCCUGACGCAGCGACGCCGCGUGGGGGAUGAAGGUCUUCGGAUUGUAAA
rnacentral:rRNA from 1 species